rnacentral:lncRNA from 1 species
AGCCAUAGCCGGUGGUGCUUCCUUCCUUUUUUCCAUCCUGCACAACCACCAUGAGCGGUGCUACUAAAGGCAUCGGAUGCUGCCCAUUUUUCUCUCGCGGAGCUACUCCAAGGGGGUGGUCCUUGCACACACGCCGCCGCGACAGCCCAAACACCGUUACUGCAUGCGGCGACGAGCGUGCUGCAACUAGCGCUCGUUGCCAUGGCUGCCCGCAGCUGGUCGCGCUCCUGUCCAUGACCAUCGCAACAAGAUUUUUGCUACCACCAUGUUGUUUUUUGCUGGAACCGACCCAUGUUUUUGCUACCACCCACUCACCUCAAAUCUGCUACCAUGGUGAUUUUUUGCUGGAACCAGCGAACCAUUUUGCUACAACCGUUUUGGGUUUCGUUACUACUGGUGUUUUGUGAAUUUUUGCUACAUCCAUCUCUAUGACAUAGUCUGUUUUUUCUAGUCAAUUUUGCUACAACCAUGCUUUGAUUUUGCUGGAAACAAAGACAAUUUUUGCUACAAUCAUAUUUUGCUUUUGCUGGAACCGAAGAUAAUUUUUGUUACAUCCACCAAACGGCGAUGGCUUUCAUUUUGCUGCAACCGUCUUGGAUUUUUGCUACCAUAGGAGUUGCCACUUUGCUACUACCAGAGUCUUGCUCGAAGCAUCAAGAGUUUUUGCUACCACUCCCUUUUAUUUUUGUUUUGAUUUUGCUGGAACCAGCCUAAAAAUUGCUCCAACCGUCGUUUGAUUUUGCUGGAACUGGCAUUUUUUGCUUCGCCGGUGGCGGUGAAGGCGGGUGGCGUUUUGCUUCGCCAGCGGCGGCUAGGCUGCGAGCGCCGGCGGCGAGCAGAAGCAACGAGGGUCCAAAGGAGAGCAGGGGGGCUAGCGUGCGGGAUCCCGCGAGCUGCGGCGGCGCUCGCUUUUUUCCCCUUUUUUCCCUGUGCGGAGGAUGACGAAAGGGGAUGCGGGACAGAUCAGAUGGUCCCGCGCGUCCAGAUCGAGCGGCUCGGGUUGGACCGGCCGAAACUCGCGCCGGUGCGCCGGCGCAGAGUACUGCCCUUUUAUUUUCUUUUUUUUGUAUGCUUCGGUGAAGCUGUUGGCACGUCGGGAGCAUUAUCUAUUAUAAUAUAUGGAAUUGGUACCUUGGCAGGAUUUCAGUAAAUACCUUCACACAUCUCUCUCUUCAGUUCGUCGUCGCACAUCUUGGAUGAAAUGGAGUUACCCGCGUGAGAUGGUAACAAUCAAUUACGCAUGAUCUCGCUCCCGGUUGCCGGUUCAACAAGAAUUGAUGGAAGUCGCAAAGGCAAAGCCAUCCGUGAGUGGAGAGCAACAAUGGCGAUGGCGACGCUCCCACUUUCCUAUCACCUCCACCUUUUCCUCUUCCUCUCUAGCAUCGUCGUUCAGUUGAUACUUCAAAAAUUAUUGUCGAUACUUGUAGAAUUACAAUCAUUAUGACAGCAGCAAAUACAGCAGUUCACCAAUUUAAGAAGAUUCAGUAAAAUAUUCAGUUUGAUUCAGUUAACUUCUCACUGAUAUUAACUGAAGAUAACUGAAGAUUUUGGGAGUACUGGAGUACUGGAAAUUUCAGAUGGGAUCACGUUUAAUCUUUAGUCAGAUUUAAUCUGGACGCCAUCAUGAUUCAUG